GACGAACGCUGGCGGCGUGCCUAAUACAUGCAAGUAGAACGCUGAAGAGAGGAGCUUGCUCUUCUUGGAUGAGUUGCGAACGGGUGAGUAACGCGUAGGUAACCUGCCUGGUAGCGGGGGAUAACUAUUGGAAACGAUAGCUAAUACCGCAUAAAAUGGAUUAUCGCAUGAUAAUCCAUUGAAAGGUGCAAAUGCAUCACUACCAGAUGGACCUGCGUUGUAUUAGCUAGUUGGUGGGGUAACGGCUCACCAAGGCGACGAUACAUAGCCGACCUGAGAGGGUGAUCGGCCACACUGGGACUGAGACACGGCCCAGACUCCUACGGGAGGCAGCAGUAGGGAAUCUUCGGCAAUGGACGGAAAUCUGACCGAGCAACGCCGCGUGAGUGAAGAAGGUUUUCGGAUCGUAAAGCUCUGUUGUAAGAGAAGAACGAGUGUGAGAGUGGAAAGUUCACACUGUGACGGUAUCUUACCAGAAAGGGACGGCUAACUACGUG
rnacentral:rRNA from 1 species